rnacentral:rRNA from 1 species
UACGUAGGUGACAAGCGUUGUCCGGAUUUACUGGGCGUAAAGAGCGCGCAGGCGGUCGAUCAAGUCGAGUGUGAAAGCCCCCGGCUCAACUGGGGAGGGUCAUUCGAUACUGAUCGACUCGAAGGCAGGAGAGGGUAGUGGAAUUCCCGGUGUAGUGGUGAAAUGCGUAGAUAUCGGGAGGAACACCAGUGGCGAAGGCGGCAUCCUGGACCGGUAUUGACGCUGAGGCGCGAAAGCCAGGGGAGCAAAGC